rnacentral:tRNA from 1 species
GGGCGCGUAGUCUAGUCUGGAUAGGGCGCCAGCCUUCGGAGUUGGAUGUCCCAGGUUCGAAACUCCGCUUGCAGCUUGGCGGAGCGAAACUCCUGGCGCGCCCGCCA